rnacentral:rRNA from 1 species
AACGAACGCUGGCGGCGCGCUUAACACAUGCAAGUCGAACGGGGUUGUUAUGAAGUAGCAAUACGGAAUAAUAACUUAGUGGCGAACGGGUGAGUAACACGUAGGUAACCUGCCCUUAGGAUUGGGAUACUCCCGAGAAAUCGGGCUCAAUACCGGAUAUGAUUCCGAGGUGAAAUGCCUAGGAAUGAAAGCUGCGAGCAAUCGUGGCACCUAAGGAGGGGCCUGCGGCCUAUCAGCUUGUUGGUGAGGUAACGGCUCACCAAGGCUAAGACGGGUAGCCGGACUGAGAGGUCGAUCGGCCACACUGGAACUGAGACACGGUCCAGACUCCUACGGGAGGCAGCAGUGGGGAAUUUUGCGCAAUGGGCGAAAGCCUGACGCAGCGACGCCGCGUGGAGGAAGAAGGCCCUCGGGUUGUAAACUCCUUUAGUACGGGAAGAAGCCGAAAGGUGACGGUACCGUAAGAAUAAGCCACGGCUAACUCUG